UGAAAGUUACUAUUUAUGGAAAUCAACUAUAAAAGGAAGGGUAAGUUUCCAUUUUAGGAGGAUAGUUAUGCUACUAAAAACGAAAGUUACUAUUUAUGGAAAUCAACUAUAAAAGGAAGGGUAAGUUUCCAUUUUGGGGGGAUAGUUAUGCUCUAAAACGAAAGUUACUAUUUAUAGAAAUCAACUAUAAAGGAAGGGUAAGUUUCCAUUUUGGGGGGAUAGUUAUGCUCUAAAAACAAAAGUUACUAUUUAUGGAAAUCAACUAUAAAAGGAAUGGUAAGUUUCCAUUUUGGGGGGAUAGUUAUGAUUUAAAAACAAAAGUUACUAUUUAUGGAAAUCUACUAUAAAAUGAAUGGUAAGUUUCUAUUUCGGGGGAUUCCUUUUUUGAAAAUUCAACACUAAUUGCCACAUGUUGCGACCUCAUUCGUCCUAAGUCACUAAUCUGUCAAUGUCAUUAAAGUUUUACAUUUUUUCCACCAUUUCAAAACUUUAAAAAUGCAUAUAGAAAAUAGCUCCAGUGUCGGAAAAAUUCACCGAAAAAUGUCACGGACCACUGGCGGGACCCACUUUACAACUGUGUCUGAAUUUUAGUCAUUGGAAUCACAACGUACCUACUAAUGUGGUAUAACUUGUUUGGUAGGUUAUAUGCUAGUGUACAACUUUGUGAACCACCUAUAUAGAGGAAGCAAAAUUUUCAAAAAUCUUGUGAAAUAGGAUGUCAUCGGUAUAGUAAAAUAUGGCUACGGUAGAAAAAUCACUUUAAUUUGCCAAUGUUUGGGCCCCAAUCGAAGCGGUCAACCCUAUUUACGUUUAUGCUUCACUAAGGAGAACUCUAUCCUCGGGUGGUAAAUGUCCCCUAAAGUUUUACAUGGGUGGUUAAAUCUCAUCUAUGUGAGACUUUAUUGUGUUGAAGAAUCCACCAAACUAGGUCACAAAGAGGUAGGUAAGAUAAUUUUCGUGUGAUAAGUGAAUAUGAAU
rnacentral:lncRNA from 1 species